rnacentral:lncRNA from 1 species
AAAUGUAAUUCACUAGGAAAUUGAAGACUUUUUAGGGAAGUUGGUAGGCUUAGUUCAGGUGGACACAGACUAGCAGCUUGAUAGUUUGUGCUAACACAAAAGUGCUAACUUACCUUAUGUUUCGUCAUCGUGGUGUUCCUUAUCCGUUCAAUUCAGUGAAUUACUCAAAAAAAAAAAAAAAAAAAAAAAACAAACACAACUUUAUAUACAGCUAAAAUAUAAGCCGUCUUGUGGCAUAACUGCUUGCGUUUUAGGAACCUAUGCUCCUAUCUGUUAUUUCAGUCAAACAUUUUCGUCGAUGAUAUGUUUUGAACAAAACGCCAUGCCGCGUUUAAUCACCUGAUUUGCUACACUCGACGUCAGCGUCGCGUCCAGACGGCGCCAUUUUUUUUUUUAUUUUUAAAGGUAACUUGACUGCUAAUGAGGAGAAAAGUGUCAGGAAAGAGAACGGCUCGGCUGACACAUUCAGUGCGCAAGAGUAUCAUAUGGCUUCACAGAAUUGGACUAUCUCUAGUAAUAUCUCAACUAUUUGAAAUACUACCUUAGAGAGAUCUUCUAGAUGUGUGUUGCAGUGGCAUGAAGAAGCUGUGAUGGACAGUAGGAAAGAACAGAAGUGAGGACCAGUCUGACCCACAGCCGAUGCCUGGCAGGAAGAAACACUGGAAGGGAAAUAAAGACACUAAUCCUCGGCUGCUUCAGCAGGUCAGGUCGAGCUCGACAGUGUGCAUAGCUCAAAUGCAGACCCAGGAGCGUUUCCCAGCCUGCCAUUCGAAGGUUCACGAGAGCUUCAGUAUUAUUCCAGCAGAGAGCAUGGAUUUUAAUCUUCAUCUGAGUCACACCUGUCACACCAAAGUGAAAGUGUGA